rnacentral:tRNA from 1 species
GGAGAGGUGCCGGAGUGGUUGAACGGGGCGGUCUCGAAAACCGUUGUGGGGACAACUCCACCCAGGGUUCGAAUCCCUGCCUCUCCG